rnacentral:rRNA from 1 species
GACAGAGGGUGCAAGCGUUGUUCGGAAUCAUUGGGCGUAAAGCGCACGUAGGCGGUCAUGUAAGUCAGAUGUGAAAGCCCAGGGCUUAACCCUGGAAGUGCAUCUGAUACUGCAUGACUUGAGUCCCGGAGAGGGUGGUGGAAUUCCUGGUGUAGAGGUGAAAUUCGUAGAUAUCAGGAGGAACACCGGUGGCGAAGGCGACCACCUGGACGGAGACUGACGCUGAGGUGCGAAAGCGUGGGGAGCAAACAGG